rnacentral:rRNA from 1 species
CCUACGGGAGACUGCAGUAGGGAAUAUUGCUCAAUGGGGGAAACCCUGAAGCAGCAACGCCGCGUGGAGGAUGAAGGUUUUCGGAUUGUAAACUCCUUUUGUUAGAGAAGAUAAUGACGGUAUCUAACGAAUAAGCACCGGCUAACUCCGUGCCAGCAGCCGCGGUACUACGGAGGGUGCAAGCGUUACUCGGAAUCACUGGGCGUAAAGAGCGCGUAGGCGGGAUAGCAAGUCAGAUGUGAAAUCCUAUGGCUUAACCAUAGAACUGCAUUUGAAACUGUUAUUCUAGAGUAUGGGAGAGGUAGGUGGAAUUCUUGGUGUAGGGGUAAAAUCCGUAGAGAUCAAGAGGAAUACUCAUUGCGAAGGCGAACUGCUAGAACAUAACUGACGCUGAUGCGCGAAAGCGUGGGGAGCAAACAGGAUUAGAUACCCCAGUAGUC